ACCAAUAGUAGUUUGAUUGCAGAUUUACCAAUACAGGAGAGGAGACACCAUUUUAAAGGAAAAUGUGAAGUAGCCUAAUGUAAUCUGGACCUUCGAUCCCGCCAUUAAAACGGAACACGCGCCAAGGCUAUGGGCAACCUGUCCUAACUGAACCACACGCGUGGACUGGUAGUCAGCAACUGACACGUAGUAGCGCUGGCGUCCAUGUUUAGGGAAAUUGGUGGAGCAAGGCCUACUCUGCCACAGUUUAUCUGUUUUGAAAUUCUGUAUUAGCGAACGCUAUUAAUUAGGAACGUUACCGUAGAAAUUGUAGCUACGCAGUGUUCUUGUAAUUUUAAUAUCCAUGCAUAUUUUUUAUCCAUAUAAUUAACUUGACUAUUCUUGUUUUUAGUUUCUUGCUGUUUAUAUUUCUUGGUUAGAUAUCCACUCGGCAAGAUUCUUUAAAGAUUGGUAUGCUUUAUAGUGUCAUAAAUCCCCACUUUUAACACGCAUUUUUACAGUCUUGCUAGUUAGUUCGCUAGCUCUAUGUAUUAAUGACCAGAGUAACCUGCUGCGGAAUCGACGAAUAGGGUCUAAACUUCGUCCACAGCAACGAUCAGUUGGCUAAUGUGUACUGUUAAUUAACUUACUAACUUUCUGUUGCCAGUUCUUGUGAACUAGCUAUCUUAUUCAGCACGUUAGAAAAGAGAAAAAAGAAACAAACUGGGGAUGUUUACUAAUAAGAAGGCGUGGUUUUCAAACAGUGUGAGUGAGCAGCUUUGUCAUCUGUGGGUGUCAGAAGGUGGAACCAUCGUUAGUUGGAAAAGAGCAGAUUAUCUAUUCAGUGAGGAUGCAUCCAGUCCUGAUACACAACGGGUAUUUGAGAGUGUGGACUAUGCAGAGGACAGGGUGACGGUUUUCCACAGUUUGUUCCUCUCUACCUGUGAAAAGACCCAGAGCACAGAGUCUGUGUCCAUCGGUCACUAUGUGCUCCCCCCACCCUGCGUUCAGAAAGAAGUAAAAGCAGCUGUUGGACAUUUCAUUUGGGAGCAGGAGAUCAGUCAGAAGAAAGUAAAGGUUCCAUGCAGCAGAGCAAACAUUAGGGAAAAUAUGGUGUUGAAAGAAGAUUUACUGAGGCCCCAAAAUGAUUGUGGAAACAGAGAAGGUGCAAAGAUAAGCCAAGAACCUGCCAUAUUGACAACACCCCAGAGAGAAACUUCUCCGUGCUGUAAUGUGCAGCAGUACCCCGUCAAUAACAUGGUUACAGGAUAUGUUUUCAUUGAUGCACUGACAAGGUAUUCGGGUGAACUACACGACUUCCUUCCAGGCCACCCUGAUUGCUUAGUAUUGAAAGCUCAUAAUGAAAAAUAUACUAUUACAUCAGAUGAAGAAAGAGCCCUCAGGAAUGUGAAAUGAUAACUGGGCCUUUAAACAGGCAAUGGCUGUAUAUGCUCUUUGGGUGUGAUAAAACUGUACAUCUACUGGAAAACAAAGAGGAUUGUGUAAUAUUUUCCUGUGAACCUUCUGGCAUUUUUUUUAUUUAAAAAGUACAUUGUAAAGUACUGCACUUCAAAAUAGAGAAAAACACAUUUUCCAAUAAAAAUGUUUUGACAUGGCU